UCCAAGCUGUAACUACCAAGUUGAAUGCCUUUAUGACUGAUUACAAGAUGUUACUCUCUGGUUUUGAAUCGUCUGUUUGCAUCAGUGAUAACAAUGAUAAUAUUCAGAUGCUGAGGAUGCUAGCUACUGGGCAAUGUCCAAAUGGUGACUGCAGAAUGAAGAAAGGCUUCUGUCUUGAAGGCAGUUGUGUCAAGAACGAGCUGUCACCUGCACUGUAGACAUCUGUGACAAUGAAGAACUUUGAUAAGUAGAGCGUGUAUAUCAAACAUGGGAAAAUGUAAAAACAAAUCAUGUAUACAUAUAUUCUAUGUAAAGGUAAUCAUGUUUGUGACGUAGUUCCCUCUAUGCUGUAAGCAUGUUAUUUAUUUAUAGCCUAUAUAUAUGGUAGCAAAUUUAUCAAUGAUCUCACUCACUGCUGCUAUAAUAAUAAGAGACUUACAUUGACCACAGAAAUAAUGUAUCUUUUUUGUAAGCAUUAAACAAAGAAUCUGGUAAAAAAAAUACAGAAAAAUGGAACACAGAUGGCCUACAUCCAUGAUAUUUGAUGUCUGCCUAAUUAUUAUUUUUAUUAAAAAAUGAAGCAUGCAUCUUUAGGAUGUCUAUGUAAAAAAGGGGGGGGGAAGUCAGUAUGUUUUCUUCUCUUUAUUUUGUAUGAUAAGGUACUGAGUUAUCGCUGUAUGUAUAAAGGGGGGGGGGGUGACGGGUUGGAGAAAGGUCACCUAAAUGAUUUUAUUCCUUUCCGAAGAAAGAAUAGGGGAAUUAUGUAGUGACAUGACAUAUAGCAUAGUCUUUUCAAUAUUCAUAUAACAUCUUUCUUCUUUAUUUCUUGAUCAUUUGCAAAAACUGUAGGAAAUGGCCAUCCUUUAACACUCCUGCAGCACCACAAUUGCUUUUUUAAAUAUACCGAUGAGAAGUGAUUCAGUUCAUUCAUAUUUGGAAAAUGUUAAAGCUAUGAAAAAAAAAAUUAAAGUAAAGAUGUUUCUUUUAAACCAAAAUGGGUUUAUCAAUCACAGUAAGCUAUUAGCCUUGUCAACCUUGUGAUGAAUUAAAGUGUUGAAUCGCAUUUGAUGUCUAGCAUGAAUAUCGCUAUUGAAAUAA